CGAGUUGGCUGGGCGGCUGCGGCACCGGAGAAAUCCGGCGUCGAGGAAAGUCCGGACUUCACAGAGCAGGGUGAUUGCUAACGGCAAUCCGAGGUGACUCGCGGGAAAGUGCCACAGAAAACAGACCGCCAGCAAUGGUAAGGGUGAAACGGUGCGGUAAGAGCGCACCAGCAUCCCGGGUGACCGGGGUGGCUAGGCAAACCCCACCCGAAGCAAGGCCAAGAAGGCCGCAACCUGGUUGCGGUCGCGCAGGCGCCCGAGGGUUGCUCGCCCGAGCCUGCGGGUAGGCCGCUUGAGGCACCCGGUGACGGUGUGUCCAGAUGGAUGGUCGCCGUCUUACCCUCAGGGGUGAGAGACAGAAUCCGGCUUACAGGCCAACUCGUUCG
rnacentral:RNase_P_RNA from 1 species